CUACGUACGUCGAGAAAGAAUGUAGACGACGACGACGACGACGACGACGACGACGGUGCCGAGUAUUGCAGACGUGUCGCGCGGUCGGUGACAGAGUGGACUCGUCCAAGAUGGCUGCGCAGUGAUCAGUCAGUAAGACGCCAUAAGACACGAUCGCGGACUAGACACACGAAAAUGCUUUCUCCGAACGAUUCUCGGCAUCGUUCUUACGAUAUACAUCGAAACCGGGACUGAGAAGGAGUUUAAACCGCCGUUCUGAGGCAUUCUAAAACGAUGGUCUAGAAAUAUCUGCUGGUCGAUACAUGUAUCUCUGUCUCUCUGUGAACAAGACACAGGCGCGCGCCGAAAGACAAUGGCGACGUCCACUUGCACGCGUAUCUCAUGGCAGCACCUCAUGGCACGCACAAUUCUUCCCGCUGAUAAUUUCUCCAUUUACAUAAUACAUUUUAGCCGGGAAAAAAGAACGGAUUACACAGCCGUAGUAAACGCGACGCGGUCUCUAAUGAGAUGAAUGUUCGUCGUCGAGUCGAGCCAAUCACGCACAAGAACAAUUAUAUUUACUACGUGCAGGUAAACGGCGUAAAAAAAGGUUUAUCGUUAAUGAAUUGUGGCAUGAAACACGUCCUACGAUUCGACCUAAUCAAUUGUCUUUUUCGCGUUUUACGCGCGGUUAUUAAUAGACUCACGCUUUCCCGUUUAGUAAUUUCAAUUUUCAAAUCUUCUAUCGAACGAUCGAAAAUCUGAUCUUGAACAGCAGAUAACGAACGUGCAAUCAACGACGUAAGUCGUCGAAAGAAAUAUGAUACCGAAUAAAUACGAAUUCUUUUCAA